GAUGAACGCUAGCGGCAGGCCUAAUACAUGCAAGUCGGACGGGAUUGAGAAGCUUGCUUUUCAUGAGAGUGGCGCACGGGUGCGUAACACGUAUGUAACCUACCUUAAUCAGGGGGAUAGCCUCUCGAAAGAGAGACUAACACCGCAUAAAAUCAAUUUAUGGCAUCAUAGAAUGAUCAAAUAUUUAUAGGAUUAAGAUGGGCAUGCGGAACAUUAGCUAGUUGGUAAAGUAACGGCGUACCAAGGCUACGAUGUUUAGGGGAUCUGAGAGGAUGACCCCCCACACUGGUACUGAGACACGGACCAGACUCCUACGGGAGGCAGCAGUAAGGAAUAUUGGUCAAUGGGCGCAAGCCUGAACCAGCCAUGCCGCGUGCAGGAAGACGGCCCUACGGGUUGUAAACUGCUUUUGUACCGGAAUAAACCUUUGUAUGUAUACGAAGCUGAAUGUACGGUAAGAAUAAGGAUCGGCUAACUCCGUGCCAGCCGCCGCUGUAA
rnacentral:rRNA from 1 species